AUGCGUAUAGAUAAAGUAAUCUAGAUGAUACAGAUGCAUCACGAUACUCAAGAUAUGACCGUUGAUCAGAUUUAAUCAAAUAUGCCCGCCAUAUGGUCAAGGACCUCCACCUCAAUAUAAUGUUGGACCAGGAAACACUGGACCUGGCAUUGCACCACCUCCAUUUGGCUAUGGCGGUCAACAGAAUGGUCCUGGCAUUGCACCACCUCCUUUUGGUUACGGCGGUCAACAGAAUGGUCCUGGCACAGCUCUACAUCCUCCGGGCCAUGGACCAGAAUUUGCACCACCGCCAUCUGGGUAUGGUGGAUAUCCUCAGCCACCACAACAAUAUGGAGGUUACCAACAGACACAGCAGAAUACAGUUAUUAUUGCAGGACAACCAACCACUGUCAUUCAUCAACAAAAACGAGAAAGAUUUGCCGAUAAUAUUUGCAUCAACCUGGUUUUAAUUAUCUUCUUCCCAUUUUGGAUUUUCGUCUGGAUAUGUUUGUGCAUGUUUGAGAAAUAGACAGCAUAUCUAUGCGAUUCGGAAUAGCGGGAUUGUUUCAUUAGACCAACUGAAAAAUGAAACAGCAUUGAUGCUUCAAAUUCUUGAUAUAACGACGCAACCUGUAUACCUGAGUUUACUCUUACUACUAAACAUUUCGAAAUACGACAUAUCUAUAUAUAUAUAUAUAUCAAUGUAAAUGUAAAUAUAGUUUAUAGCUAUCAGAACAUUUCCACAAGGAUUAUAAAAUGUUUUUAAAUUAACUGUUUUCAAAAUCCGUAAAAUUGUGCGUCAUUAAGGUAAUAAUAUUAUAGCAAGAUGACAUGAUCCUUCAUAUAUUAUACUUAUAUGUCUGUUAUUGUACGUCCAAAGUAGUCUUAUUUAAAGGUCUAUAGGUUGUAUGUGAAAGAAGAAAGUUUAUGUGUUAUUUAGAGGAAUCAUUAUUAAAUAUCAAAAUAAUAUAAUUUGUAGAAAUAUACUUGCUUAAUUGAAAUUUGAAUCUAGAAACAAUUGGUCCCACCUUCUAGAUUUGAUUAUUAGGUUUGUACAAUAAAUUUUGGAUUAAUCCUCGGUGCCCUCUGCUUUUAUUAGCAAUGCAUUUGAUAUUUUUAUAAAUUUGCAAUUUUCAUUUAAGUCAAAGUAUAUUCAAUUGUGCGAUAUUUCGGAUUUUAAUGAAAUGUUGUAUAUAUUUAGAACUCGUUGAAAUGCAUUUGCCAAUAUAAAAUAGAAUUAUGUAUGUAUAAAAAUAACAAGAUGUGGUAUGAUUACCAAGGAGACAACUCUCCACAAGAGACCAAAAGACACAGAAAUUAACAACUGUAGGUCACCGUACGGCCUUCAACAAUGACUAAAACCCAUACCGCAUAGUCAGCUAUAAAAGGCCCCGAAAUGACAAAUGUAAAACAAUUCAAACGAGAAAACUAACGGCCUGAUUUAUGUACAAAAUAAUGAACGAAAAACAAAUAUGAUAUACAGCAACAAACGACAACCACCGAAUUACAGGCUCCUGACUUGGGACAGGCACAUACAGAAUGUGGCGGGGUUAAACUAGUUUGAAGGCGCGCCAAUCCUCCUUGGACAGUGGUGUGACAGUGCAAUAUAAGAACAAACUAUCAAAAUCUGUUGAAAAGGGAUUAACUCAUCAGAUCGAUCCAAAGCAGAAAUACAGCAAACAAAACCACAGACCGGACAUGACAGGGUACUUAUACACACAGACAACAAAAAGACACCAAGUACAGAUCUGAGAGUACUCGCAGUUACUUACAAAGUUCAAAACCAAUAACAACUAAAAACAAAAAAAUCACAUGCAUCUAAGACUAAAAUAUCAAUCAGUACACAUCCAACAUCCAAUGGAUUUUGUGUAAAGACGUCAUUAAUAGUCAGAGAAAAACAUGACCCGGUGCAAAACCAAGAUACAGGUGUCGACAGAUUGUAGA